rnacentral:rRNA from 1 species
AACGAACGCUGGCGGCAGGCUUAACACAUGCAAGUCGAGCGCCCCGCAAGGGGAGCGGCAGACGGGUGAGUAACGCGUGGGAAUCUACCCAUCUCUACGGAAUAACUCAGGGAAACUUGUGCUAAUACCGUAUACGCCCCUUGGGGGAAAGAUUUAUCGGAGAUGGAUGAGCCCGCGUUGGAUUAGCUAGUUGGUGGGGU